GUUGAGCGUCCUCGGGUUGUCAGUGUGGGCAAGUCGCAUGGAAAUGCGCGCCGUGGAGGGUGAGAGCCCCGUCCAACUCACACAGGACAUACCCGCACGAGGGCGUUUCAGAUGAGUCGGGUAGCUUGGGAAUGCUGCUCUAAUCGGUGGUAAAUCUCAUCGAAGGCUAAAUAGCGGCUGGAGACCGAUAGCGAACAAGUACCGUGAGGGAAAGAUGACAAGCACUUUGAAAAGAGGGUGAAAAGAGCCUGAAACCGUCACGGGGGAAGCGGAUUGCGUUGGAUUGAUGGGCGCUUGUGUGUUCAGCCUUCGGGUGCAUUGGCACAAGUGCUUAUCCGCUGUGAGUUUUCGGGGGUCGAUUUUGGACCCCUGGGGACUGAGGGCUCCCUUUUUUAGGUGAGGACAGCGGAGUGACGACGCGAUACGACCCGUCUUGAAACACGGACCAAGGAGUCUAGCGCGGGUGCGAGUCGGAGGGUGCAAGCCCGUGGGCGAAGUGAAAGCGAGUUUUAAAAACGAGCAGUUUGGGGCGGCAUAAGAUCGUUGAUCUUAAGACCGACCCGGAGCAGUUGCGCUGGGACCCGAAAGAUGGUGAACUAUGCCGGAGUAGGGCAAAGCCAGAGGAAACUCUGGUGGAGGCUCGUAGCGGUGCUGACGUGCAAAUCGCUCGUCGAACUUGGGUAUAGGGGCGAAAGACUAAUCGAACCAUCUAGUAGCUGGUUCCCUCCGAAGUUUCUCUCAGGAUAGCGGGCCGACAAGUUGUUUUGUGCGGUAAAGCGAAUGAUUAGCGCAUUCGGGGGCGUUUAGCCUUUGGGCGAUUCUCAAACUUUCAAUGCGCAAGGGUGCCGCUGCUUAAUUGAGCGGUACCGGUAAAAACGUCGGCCCUGUGGGCCACUUUUGGUAAGCAGAACUGGCGAUACGGGAUGAACCGUAAGCAAGGUU
rnacentral:rRNA from 1 species